UACGAAGGGGGCUAGCGUUGCUCGGAAUUACUGGGCGUAAAGCGCACGUAGGCGGCUUUCUAAGUCGGGGGUGAAAUCCUGGAGCUCAACUCCAGAACUGCCUUCGAUACUGGAGAGCUUGAGUCCGGGAGAGGUGAGUGGAACUGCGAGUGUAGAGGUGAAAUUCGUAGAUAUUCGCAAGAACACCAGUGGCGAAGGCGGCUCACUGGCCCGGUACUGACGCUGAGAUGCGAAAGCGUGGGGAGCAAACAGG
rnacentral:rRNA from 1 species